UGGGGAAUAUUGCACAAUGGGCGCAAGCCUGAUGCAGCCAUGCCGCGUGUAUGAAGAAGGCCUUCGGGUUGUAAAGUACUUUCAGCGGGGAGGAAGGGAGUAAAGUUAAUACCUUUGCUCAUUGACGUUACCCGCAGAAGAAGCACCGGCUAACUCCGUGCCAGCAGCCGCGGUAAUACGGAGGGUGCAAGCGUUAAUCGGAAUUACUGGGCGUAAAGCGCACGCAGGCGGUCUGUCAAGUCGGAUGUGAAAUCCCCGGGCUCAACCUGGGAACUGCAUUCGAAACUGGCAGGCUAGAGUCUUGUAGAGGGGGGUAGAAUUCCAUGUGUAGCGGUGAAAUGCGUUGAGAUCUGGAGGUAUACCGGUGGCGAAGGCGGCCCCCUAGACAAAGACUGACGCUCAGGUGCGAAAGCGUGGGGAGCAAACAGG
rnacentral:rRNA from 1 species